ensembl:lncRNA LINC01206 long intergenic non-protein coding RNA 1206
UUUUUUUUUUUUUUUAACUUUUUUCUUGAAAACUUUAUUAAAAUAAGGAUUAAACCUGAAAAAAGAACAAUCAGAAUGCCAGCCCUUUGUAUAAAAUCAUCAAGAAAAAGGAAAGAAAGAGAGAAAGAAAGAAGAGAAAAGAAGAGAAAAGAAAAGAAAAGAAAAGAAGUCAGGCACCCUUUUUAAUUUCUUCUCAUCUCUCUCUCACCGACGCUCUCGACAGGGGAGUGCUCCACCCCCACAGUCUCUUCUUUUUCUCUGUCCAUUCACUUCCAUUCAUGCACUGCAAGAGGGCUCUCCGCCCUCCCAUUGUAGACCCAUGGUUCUUCAUUCCCCACACUUCACAGUCACACUGCUUCCCCUGGAGCCCCAGUCACCUACUUACUCAAUUUCAGUUUUCAGUCUUGGUUUUGUGAGACUUCUGGACCACUAUAUUCUCCUUAAAGUAUUUUUUGAAUUGGUAAUUCCUUCAUAGUUCAAACCGGGAAAGCACAAAACAGAGUGAACAGUCUCUUUUUAUCCUUGUCCCUCAGUUUUCCAUAGGCAGCCACUGCUGUUAGUUUCUUAUAUAUCCUCCCAGAGGUUCUUCAUAGAUAUAUUAGAAAAAAUGCAAAUUUAUUUGUAUUUAAAACAAAUAAGAAUAUAGGUUCUUAUUUUUUCCCUUCCUAACAGAAAAAGUAGAUAUUGCUCACAUCGUUUGGCUUUGCAUUUUUUUAAUUCAACAAAUGAAAAAAAUAUACAUGUGUAGACACUGGGCUUCUCAUGGGCAUCUGACACUCACUUUGCUCUGAACUGAACUACUUCCCAAAGCUGCUUUUCCUCUUAUAUUCUUUGAUUCAGUGGUCCUGGUGAGUAGGGGUUAUGUCCAUUUAUCUAAUCUCUUAAGUCAGAAACCUGGUAGGCAUCCUUGACCACUCCCCUAACACCAUCUAAAAUAUCAGCAAGCUCCACCUUUUCCCCUUCUUCAUUCCUACCAUCAUUGACUGAAUCUAAGGCUUUUAUCCUUCAGGAAUCCUUUGCUGAAAGACUUCUCCCAACUCAUCUAGUUGUUCAACGCUGCAGCAUUUUAUAUAUAUACCUAUAUCAUUGAAGUUGCCGUCACGACUGAUUUAUUAGUUUGUGCCUUUCACCAGGCUGGGCAGAGAUGUACCAAAUUCAUUUUUACUGAUAAGAACAUAAUGAAUGCUGAAUGAAUGAAUACAAGAAUAAACAGAAGACGUUCAGAAGAAAGUUCACUUGUUUCAAGAUUGUCAAGAAUGACGAGUUGGACUUGGUCUAGUUACUUCCACAGCAGCAGGAGGAACAUGUGUGUGACUCAGGAUAACUGGGGAAGCCUUGGCUAGGCUUUCCUCAUGUCAACCUACCACUCAAAGGGAGAAAACCUCCUGAUCAGAGGUGCCCAGAACCCAGGAAAUCCAUAAUUUUUGAAUGCUGGCCGAGGUCUGUGACCUCUGACUGAAUGGUUUCCAAGCUCCGAAUUCCUAGGUGAUGUUUUCAUUUGUUCACACUUGCUGAAGAAGGGAAAGGCUCUCUGAUUUACGUGUAAGCAAAACAAUCUAAACAGUAGGAUAAAAUCAUGUUGGAAUGGAGUUCUGUGUGGAUGCUCCUUUGAACCAAAUCAGUUCCACAACUGACCCUGUCAGGGACAUAUAAAUUUAGCAUUUUGGUGUGGAUACAGAAGACGAGAUUAACACAGAUCAAGUAACAUGGAAAUAAAAAAGGAGACAAUGCUGGAUGAUACAGGGGCAGCCAACAAGAGGAGAAAACCCAAGCAUUGGCAAAUGCCUCAUUAUCCAAAGAACACUCCUUAUACUCCUGAGAAUUUGUGGCAGUCCUGGGUUAAACGAUGAAGGCUUCUUAUUCUCAUGUAGGUCUCACAGCCUCUUGUCUCCCUGAGUUUUAAACACAUUGCAUUACCUUUCCAGAGGUAAAAGAAAGCCUGAGGAGGCUUUCCCCUCUGAGUUUUUCCGUGGAUUGCUGGACUCUGAGGCCCUCAUUCCUCUUGCAGGAGGUGUGGAGCAAAACUGUGUUGAAUGAACUGUAGAUGGAAAUUCUCUCCUUCCCACCGAGGAGCCGCUGCAGGUUGCAGACUCCCAGAAUGCCACACUGAGAAGAGGAGGGCUAAAAUUCUAGAGCAGAAUCCCUGGGGCAGCCCCUGCUGAAGAAGGGUGCAUCUGUUGAGAAUCUCAUCACCGCCCCCACCCCGCCCAGCCUUCAAUUUAGAGGAAUUUCUAGUUCACGCAGAAUGAAGACAAGAUCACAUAAGUGAGGACGACGCCCCAUUUACAAGUGUGAUUUGGAAGACUGAAGUGGAAACCUUGGGAAGGGGCCUCAGAGUAUGUCAGCUGGGGUCAGACGGGAACAGGAGUCUGGCUCAACACACAUUUAUUGCACUCCUGUUUCAUGCCAAGAAAUGUACCAAAAUCUGGGACUGUGUAACACAGCAAAGGAAAAGACUCAUCUCCAGGAAGCCCCCUUGUCUAGGAAGAGAAAUUGAAUAUCAGCAUAAGGUGGUGAAAAGCUGUGAAGGAGAUGAGUGCCAGGAGUCCAUGGAGGAAGGAUUCUAGCCUGGACAGGUGAGGAAUGGCUUUCUGGAAGAAGCAGAUGCCCCAGCUGAACUUUAAAAUGCCCAUGUGAAAUGAACUGUCUGUAUCUUCAAUCAGCAAAUGGAGUAGGUGGCCACUGUUUAAUUCUGGAAUGGGGAAGUGUAAAGGUGUGGUGUGUGUGUUUACCCCUACUUAGGGAUUCAAAACAGACAGUAAAGAACAAAAGUCUAGCCCUUUGAGCAUUCUCCAUGGGACAUUUGAGGUCUAGCUGGCCCCAGAGAAAGAGAGACAGAAGCAAGGUCAUAUCCAUUUGAGAAAAUCAAAGUGUCUGCUCCAAUUGAGUCUGGUGUCCUUAUUCCUGGAAUAGCCAUCCCUACUGCUCUGGUGCUGAUUUACCUCCGGCAGUUCAGUGCUUCCUGGAAGGUAGGCUGGGCUUUUUAACAAAGUGACUCCUUACUUGACAUGUUUUACCCAAACACAGAGGCCACUGCACUAUGUGCAAGAAACAACAAAAAAUUAAAUGAGACUCAAUGCCUUCCUUAGGGAUCUAAAACCCCAGUAACACAGAUAAACAGGUAAACAAAUAAUGUGAUGGUGUGAUUCUAUAGCAACAGGAAUAGAGCACUGCAGGGCCACCGAAGGAAAAGGUGAUGACCUGGCUUGGAUUCAGUGAUAAAAAGGGGCUUACCUCCUUUCUCUGUUUCUGCUAAAAGCCAGUGAUUACCCCCUGCUUUUCCCAUGUUGGGCAUAGCUGUAAGUACUUUAGACAUAGCGGCACAUUUAAUCAUCAUGCAACAAUAAGAGGAAGCUGAGGCAGACAGAAGUGCCCAAAGUCACAUACUUGAAGCCAGGACUUGAACCUGGGCUAUCUGGCUCCUGAAUCCAUGGCUUUCACUAAUAAUGACUUACCCUCCAAUGAGGAACAAGCUCCAUUCUGGCCUUUCUUUAGCGAAGGCAACUGCCUGAGCUCAUGGUCUGAUCUGGCUUCUGGGAAAGAGAAAGCAGGGGAAACGUCUAGAGAUGGCAUACUGGGAGAAGAAAUUUCUUGCUGUGGAAUCCUGCCCCCAUCUCCCUCCCCACCAUACACAAUCCCACGUGCAUUUACACCUACACGCCGUGUACACACGAACAUUUUUUCUGCUACUCCCAUGGGCCCCAACUCUGCCUUUUCAUCAAAAUCACCCAGAGUUUUAAAUAAAAUGCAGAUGUUGAGGCUUGUUCCUAAAUUAUAAUCUUGGGCAUCUAAAUUUUUUGAUUAAAAAAAAUUGACAUGCAUGCUUAAAGUAAAAAUUUAGACAAUACAGCAAAGAAUGUGUUUGUACCCCUCCCACCUAGCCCUUAGUUCUUCCGAAAGGCAAAUACUUAACCGUUCCUUGUUAUCCUUCCAGAAAACAAUAUAUGCAUAUAUUCAUCUUUUUUUUCUUCUUCCUCUGUAGGUGAUUGUGGUGAAUAGUCAUGAGAAUCUGGGAACUGGCUCCUGCUCUGUCUAUCUUGGAGAUGCAUCUUUUGUGAGAAGCCAGGGCAAGAAUAGGGAGGCUUAGGCAAUGGGAAGUUUCUGAGUAGAUAAAGCAGAUGGCAGAGCAAAGGGACAGAGCCUGGCGAGAGGCUACUCCCUGUAGCAACCUGCCUAAGAGUGAGAGGAAAGCAAGGCAUGGCUAUGAGCACGUGUAGUCUCAGCUACUUGGGAAGCUGAGGCUGGGGGAUCACUUGAGCCCAGGAGUUCAAGACCAGCCUAGGCAACAUAGUGAGACCAUGUCUCUUUAAAAAAAAAAAAAAAAAGAAAAA